ACAGGGAUUGCCUCAGUAACGGCGAGUGAAGCGGCAAUAGCUCAAAUUUGAAAGCUGGCUUACGCCCGCGUUGUAAUUUGUAGAGGAUGCUUCGGAUGCGGUGCCGGUCUAAGUUCUUUGGAACAGGACGUCAUAGAGGGUGAGAAUCCCGUAUGUGACUGGUGGCCUGCGUCUAUGUGAAGCUCCUUCGACGAGUCGAGUUGUUUGGGAAUGCAGCUCUAAAUGGGUGGUGUACUUCAUCUAAAGCUAAAUAUUGGCUGGAGACCGAUAGCGCACAAGUAGAGUGAUCGAAAGAUGAAAAGCACUUUGGAAAGAGAGUUAAAUAGUACGUGAAAUUGUUGAAAGGGAAGCGCUUGCAAUCAGACUUGCGCUGCGUCGAUCAACCUGGGUUCUCCCUGGUGCACUCGGCGCAGCUCAGGCCAGCAUCAGUUUCGGCGGUUGGAUAAAGGCUUGGAGAACGUGAGUUGCUUCGGCGACUGUUAUAGCUCCAGGUGCAAUGCAGCCAGCUGGGACUGAGGACCGCGCUUUUCGCGAAGCUAGGAUGCUGGCGUAAUGGUUGUAAGCGACCCGUCUG
rnacentral:rRNA from 1 species